AUGCACAUGGGGGACCAGCAGACCAGAGCAUGGAGAAGUGAUGCGGGGCACGCAGAGCCUUGCACCUCAAGGUAUGGAAUCAAAUGUCUGCUAAGAGAAGCCUCAGGAUUUAAUGCAAUGAAGAAUAAUGAUGUGCAAGUAGUAAACACUGUGAGUAAACAUGGGCUUCUGAAUUGUUUGAAACUUCUUUCCCCGUUGACUCUGGCGGCCGACAUGAUGGUCAUUCACUUUUCAGGAUCAGAUUUGAUGUGUGGAUAGCUGGUGAUAUACUUGAGGAUUUUAGUAUUCUUCACGUAUAAACCUAGUGUGUUUGUGUGCUAGAAAUCUGUAUUUUAC
rnacentral:lncRNA from 1 species